CCGUGUCCGUCAUCGCUGCCAUCAUCAUCAUCAUCGGCCUCGUGGGAGUCGGUGUCUGGAAGCUCCGAUCCGGGAAGAGGGAGGGGAAUGGAUACGACCCCGCACCCACCACAGGAAUCACAGCCUGAGCGAUCCUGGAGCUGGAUCCGCCCCUUCCCUGCGGAAAGGCAGGAGCUGCUGGCAGAGCUCAUCCCGCUGCUCCCACCCACCCCGGCCCCCCUGCGGCUCUUCCCGAUGGAUCAACUUCCUGCUUUUUCCCAUGUGAAACCCAGGACCACAAUUAUUCCUGAGGCUUUAAUUUGGGUGUGAAAAUCUCCUGCUUUGGGCAAUAAAUCCUGGCUCCCUC